AGUUGGGAGCUCAGUGGUAGAGCGCAUGCUUUGUGUGUAUGAUGUCCUGGGUUCAAUUACCUGCCUGGUUA